AUUGAACGCUGGCGGCAUGCUUUACACAUGCAAGUCGAACGGUAACAGGCCUUCGGGUGCUGACGAGUGGCGCACGGGUGAGUAAUGCAUCGGAACGUGCCUAGAGGUGGGGGAUAACGCAGCGAAAGCUGUGCUAAUACCGCAUGUGAUCUGAGGAUGAAAGCGGGGGACCAGGCAGCAAUGUUUGGCCUCGCGCCUUUGGAGCGGCCGAUGUCAGAUUAGGUAGUUGGUGGGGUAAAGGCCUACCAAGCCGACGAUCUGUAGCUGGUCUGAGAGGACGACCAGCCACACUGGGACUGAGACACGGCCCAGACUCCUACGGGAGGCAGCAGUGGGGAAUUUUGGACAAUGGGCGCAAGCCUGAUCCAGCAAUGCCGCGUGCGGGAAGAAGGCCUUCGGGUUGUAAACCGCUUUUGUACGGAACGAAAAGGCUCUGGCUAAUACCUGGGGCUGAUGACGGUACCGUAAGAAUAAGCACCGGCUAACUACGUG
rnacentral:rRNA from 1 species